AUUGAACGCUGGCGGCAGGCCUAACACAUGCAAGUCGAGCGGAGCUGCGGACGGGUGAUUACUGCCUUGGAAUCUGCCUGGUAGUUGGGGAUAACUUCCGGCAACGGGCGCUAAUACCGCAUACUAUCAGAUGAGCCUAGGUUGGAUUAGCUAGUUGGUGGGGUAAAGGCCUACCAAGGCGACGAGCCGUAACUGGUCUGAGAGGAUGAUCAGUCACACUGGAACUGAGACACGGUCCAGAAUCCUACGGGAGGCAGCAGUGGGGAAUAUUGGACAAUGGGCGAAAGCCUGAUCCAGCCAUGCCGCGUGUGUGAAUAAGGUCUUCGGAUUGUAAAGUACUUUAAGUUGGGAGGCGUUACCAACAGAAUAAGCACCGGCUAACUUCGUGCCAGCCGCCGCGGUAAUAC
rnacentral:rRNA from 1 species